UGGGGAAUAUUGCACAAUGGGCGCAAGCCUGAUGCAGCCAUGCCGCGUGUGUGAAGAAGGCCUUCGGGUUGUAAAGCACUUUCAGCGAGGAGGAAGGUGGUGAGCUUAAUACGCUCAUCAAUUGACGUUACUCGCAGAAGAAGCACCGGCUAACUCCGUGCCAGCAGCCGCGGUAAUACGGAGGGUGCAAGCGUUAAUCGGAAUUACUGGGCGUAAAGCGCACGCAGGCGGUUUGUUAAGUCGAUNUGAAAUCCCCGGGUCAACCUGGGAACUGCAUUUGAAACUGGCAAGCUAGAGUCUCGUAGAGGGGGGUAGAAUUCCAGGUGUAGCGGUGAAAUGCGUAGAGAUCUGGAGGAAUACCGGUGGCGAAGGCGGCCCCCCUGGACGAAGACUGACGCUCAGGUGCGAAAGCGUGGGGCAGCAAACAGGAUUAGAUACCCUGGUAGUCCACGCUGUAAACGAUGUCGAUUUUGGAGGUUGUGCCCCUUGAGGCGUGGCUUCCGGAGCUAACGCGUUAAA
rnacentral:rRNA from 1 species